rnacentral:rRNA from 1 species
ACUCCUACGGAAGGCAGCAGUGGGGAAUAUUGGACAAUGGGCGAAAGCCUGAUCCAGCCAUGCCGCGUGAGUGAUGAAGGCCUUCGGGUCGUAAAGCUCUGUGUGGAGGGACGAAAAAGCGUGACCUAAUACGUCUCGCCUUGACGGUACCUCCUUAGCAAGCACCGGCUAACUCCGUGCCAGCAGCCGCGGUAAU